CUCCGCCUCCCGCUCCGGGCCGAGCGUCCUCGGCGCCGCCUCCUCCGGCCUCCCGGCCCGGCCUUCCCCGCUGACUGACAGCAGGACCUCCUCCCGCGGCCGUCCGGGCCUGGGAAGCGGCGCGGAGGCGGCUCGGCCCUGCCCAGCGCGCGGCCCCCGGACUCCGGCGGGGGAGCGGGGGAGCGGGGGAGGGGCCGGCGGCGGCCCGGCGACGCGCGAGGGCUCCCGGCCCAGCGCCAGGGCGGAUAACGGGGCCGUGGCUGUGGGAUAACGGGACCGGGAGGCGGAUAACGGAGCCGGCGGGGCGGGGUGGGAGAGCAGAAAAGGGGCGAGGCCGCGGGUAACGGACUUCGCGGAGCGGAUGAGCAGCUGGGGUCGGUCUGGAGAUCCGUGUGACCCCAGAGCGCCCUUCCCGGGACCCGGGGCCGGAGGUCUGACGGGGCGCAGGAAAUUCCCGGGGGUCCCGCCUCCCGCGGGGAGAGGAAUCAUCUUUUGAAAGAAUUGAAAAAGACACAAAAACUGCUGCUUCAGGCUCCAGGUCUACAAUCUGUCCACCUGCUCCACCCCAAAGAACUGGCAGAAGCUCCUGCUAACCUGAGUCUGCUGCCGAGAGAUCAGUAGAAGAACAUCCCAUUGUCCUGGAAGGCAGGGGCCAGAACUUGAACAUGGUCUCUCGAGAAACAAGUCACCAAAUUCAAUUCUCACUGGGGGAGAAGAAGAUGACACAAGAACACCUGGGAGAACCGAGGUGCGGUCGCUUACCACCAGCAAGCUGUGAUUUUCAGGUUUUUACAGGAAAGGAUCAUUGAUGUGGGCUUGAAACAUGGCGCCUAUGAAUGGGAUGUACACUCGGCGGGCCUGGAAAGAACUUUCCUCUGACAGCUGGAGACAGCCUUCUGUGUGGCAGGUGCCACUGACCUGAGUAAUUCUGGCGCUGGAGAGCAAAGCAAUCGGUGACCGAGGUCGGGACUGCAAGCAACUUCCAAAUGUUGAAAGGUAACCCAAACUUCUGUAAUGACGAGAUCCCCAAACUGCGUAGUGGCUCAAACUCAAGAGAA